GAAUAGCCCUGAUGGACGAGAAAAUCCUUCCUGCUUUUUCGCAGGAAGAUUGCAACAACAGCAGGAAUUGCG
rnacentral:sRNA from 1 species